rnacentral:rRNA from 1 species
GGACUACUGGGGUAUCUAAUCCUUCUCGUUACCCAAGGCUUCGUCCCUCAACGUCAGUUUUUAUAUAAAAGGUUGCCUUCGCCGUUACCCGUCCUUCCAGUAUCAUAAAAUAUCAACUUUCCUCCGGAAAUUCGCCCCUUCUCUUAUAAAACUCUAGAAAAUUAGUUCUUAUUAUGGCUUAAUUUUCCGUCUAGGUACCCUUUAAACCAAAUAAAGAUGAAUAACACUAGUCUUCUACGUGUUACCGCGGCGGCUGGCAC